rnacentral:rRNA from 2 species
GGUAUUCCUACCUGAUCCGAGGUCAACCUUCUGGUGAAGUUGGUGGGUUUAGCGGCCGGGUACCCGCCGCGGAGCCUCCGAGCGUUUGACAGUGCUACUGCGCUCAGGGUCCGGGCGAGCCCGCCGAUGGACUUGGGGGCCCCGGCGCCCGCCCACGGCGCUGCGGGAGCAGGCCGCGGGGCGGGGCUUCACCGGGCGCCCCAACACCAGCCCCGGGGGGCUGAGGGUUGAAAUGACGCUCGAACAGGCAUGCCCGCCGGAAUGCCGGCGGGCGCAAUGUGCGUUCAAAGAUUCGAUGAUUCACUGAAUUCUGCAAUUCACAUUACUUAUCGCAUUUCGCUGCGUUCUUCAUCGAUGCCAGAACCAAGAGAUCCGUUGUUGAAAGUUUUGACUUGUUGUGCUUUAGAAGCUCAGAGAUCACGUUCGGAAUACAGCGUUGAGUUUUGGUACCCCCGGCGGCCUGGGCCGCCGAGGCAACGGAACAGAGGUGGUAUCUAAACAGGGGUUGGGAGUCUUUUACAACUCUUUAAUGAUCCCUCCGCAGGUUCACCUACGGA